ensembl:lncRNA
CAGAACUGCGAUACCACACGCGUCCGAGCAACCUGCGCUAUCGGGGGAUUUAAACACUACUCAGCGCUAGAACCCAAACCGCUUCUCUGGAUCUGCCGCAGGACGCUCGCUUACGGGAUUAUUGUUUAUUUGUUUAUUUGAACAAGAAGAUGUGAGUUUUUUGUGUGAAUGCACGAUAAGAAAGAGAGGAACUCCAUCGCUGAUCAAGGUACACUUGAGGAAGAAGGAGAAGACGAAGCCGCUAAACAACUGAAGAUAUGAAGCUAAAGGGCUUUUGAAGACAAGCGAGUGGUAAGUGGCUCUAAACUUUCCACCAUCUUUGGAGGGAGACAACAGCCCCAUACCAAUCAGUUGCAUUUUCUUCCACAAAAGCUGUGUGUAACACUCUCAAACUUUAC